UACGGAGGAUCCGAGCGUUAUCCGGAUUUACUGGGUGUAAAGGGAGCGUAGACGGAUCUGCAAGUCUGGAGUGAAAGCCCGGGGCUCAACCCCGGGACUGCUUUGGAAACUGUAGGUCUAGAGUGCCGGAGAGGUAAGCGGAAUUCCUAGUGUAGCGGUGAAAUGCGUAGAUAUUAGGAGGAACACCAGUGGCGAAGGCGGCUUACUGGACGGUAACUGACGUUGAGGCUCGAAAGCGUGGGGAGCAAACAGG
rnacentral:rRNA from 1 species